GCCAACGUAGCUCAGCUGGUAGAGCACCUGAUUUGUAAUCAGGCGGUCGUGGGUUCAAAUCCUAUCGUUGGCU
rnacentral:tRNA from 1 species